GUUCCUAUGGUCUAGUGGUUAUGACGCUUCGUUGUGGUCUUAGGAUAACUCCGAAGCAGCCCGUGUUCGAUUCACGGUGGGGACA
rnacentral:tRNA from 1 species